CCUACGGGAGGCAGCAGUGGGGAAUUUUGGACAAUGGGCGCAAGCCUGAUCCAGCAAUGCCGCGUGAGUGAAGAAGGCCUUCGGGUUGUAAAGCUCUUUUGUCAGGGAAGAAACGGCUGAGGAUAAUACCUUCGGCUAAUGACGGUACCUGAAGAAUAAGCACCGGCUAACUACGUGCCAGCAGCCGCGGUAAUACGUAGGGUGCAAGCGUUAAUCGGAAUUACUGGGCGUAAAGCGUGCGCAGGCGGUUUUGUAAGUCUGUCGUGAAAGCCCCGGGCUCAACCUGGGAAUUGCGAUGGAGACUGCAAGGCUUGAAUCUGGCAGAGGGGGGUAGAAUUCCACGUGUAGCAGUGAAAUGCGUAGAGAUGUGGAGGAACACCGAUGGCGAAGGCAGCCCCCUGGGUCAAGAUUGACGCUCAUGCACGAAAGCGUGGGGAGCAAACAGGAUUAGAUACCCUGGUAGUCCACGCCCUAAACGAUGUCUACUAGUUGUCGGGUUUUAAUUAACUUGGUAACGCAGCUAACGCGUGAAGUAGACCGCCUGGGGAGUACGGUCGCAAGAUUAAAACUACAAAGAAAGUUAGACGGCGUGAGACUGNGAGAGACGACGAGGAGGAGGAG
rnacentral:rRNA from 1 species